rnacentral:rRNA from 1 species
UUAAAAUGAGGCUGAAUGCACCUAAUUCUUUCUGGCUCUUGCAAGCUAAGCAGUCCUGGGCCUGCCUAGUAUUUGGAUUGAAGACCACUUUGUAAUCCAAGGCACAAUAAA